rnacentral:rRNA from 1 species
GACGAACGCUGGCGGCGCGCCUAACACAUGCAAGUCGAACGAGCGAGAGAGAGCUUGCUUUCUCAAGCGAGUGGCGAACGGGUGAGUAACGCGUAGGCAACCUGCCCUUUGGUUGGGGACAACAUCCCGAAAGGGUGCUAAUACCGAAUGUGAUCGUUUUCUCGCAUGAGAGAGCGAUGAAAGAUGGCCUCUAUUUAUAAGCUAUCGCUAAAGGAUGGGCCUGCGUCUGAUUAGCUAGUUGGUGGGGUAACGGCCUACCAAGGCGAUGAUCAGUAGCCGGCCUGAGAGGAUGAACGGCCACAUUGGGACUGAGACACGGCCCAG